AACACUGCCCCUAAGAUAUCCAGCCAAAGCUGCUAACUAAGGAAGCCUGCUUUAAUCACAACCUUCAUGGAUGAUAUAAUUCAAAAAAUUAGAGCCAAAAAAUUUCCUUAUCUAGGAUCAUGAUUAUGAUUAAGCAAGGUAAUAACUGAAAAGCCUCCUAAUUGUAUAAAUUAUCUAACUUUUACACAGACGAGCGCCACCAAAUCAGUAUUAUGGUGCAUGUUAAGCACAAGUACAAUCCAAAAUCACAAGUAAAAAAGGCCUUUCAAUUCAAAAAGGAUAAAAAAGAUUGUCGAAUAAAGCAUCAUCCAAUCAAUACCCAAGUUUCAUUGCUUUGAUGAAGUUGAUGGUCCAGACCCUGGGGGUGGAGGUCCAGACCCUGUGAGUGGAGGUCCGGACCCUGGAGGUGGAGGUCCAGAACUUGAAGAACCUGCAGCGGCAGUCCUGGGUAGUGGCAUAGAAUGCUGAUGCUGCUGGGUAGCUUGUGUAGCUGGUGGCAGCGGAGCU
rnacentral:lncRNA from 1 species